UUCUGUCCGUGUUUGUUGUGUUACUGCUGCUUACAUCUUGUCUAAACAGAGAAAGCUGAGUCUAACGAGGUAAACUGGAACUAGCUUUUCAAAGGACUAUCAGUUGAAAAGAGCAGCUGACAGAGGACCGACCACCCAGAUGCCUAGGGGAGUCUCCAGGCUUCUCUCCAGGCCACGACAGUGUGGCUUUUCCCAGGACACCACCAAACAGUUAAACUAGUUGAAGCAGAUAGUUGGUAAAGGAGAGUCCUCAAGCGUUGUCAUCAGGUCCUGUCGAAUAAUGGUAUCCCCUGGGCUGGACCAGGAUAUUCUAAACCAAGUAAGAAACUACUUUGUUUGUGCAGAAAAGAUAGUUAACGAACCAAUGUUUUUCAAGCAUGUUUUCUCAUACAACUCUUCUUUGCAUCCAUGCCACCUGCUAGCAGAAAGUGACAGUGAAUGGGAAACCUGGGUCAUGGCUCAUUCUUUGGAGUUUGUAAUGAAUAAGCUUACGAUUGUCAUUCUAUUUUGUUAUAUAACACACAAAUUUAAGACAAUUUAAAAUGGCCCUAUAUUUUUUCUAGCGAAACUUUCUAACUUACACAGUAGUUUCCUGGUGAUCAGCAGGUCAUGGUAUUCUGCAGAAGGCACACUCUUUGCCAUGGUACAGAGUUUGGGAACCGCUGAUAGGGGACAGCCACAGCCUGUUCUUGUAUAAGCAAAGAAAACAAACGCCAGAGAACAGCUGUCAACAAUGUCACUCAAUCAGUGGUAGUCCACAUCACGAAGAGUGUGAAGUCAGGCUAAGGGCCCAGGUGUCCUGAGUGAUGGGUGGUGUACACCCUUCCAUUGUAAGACCCUGACUGCCGCCAUCUAAAUGCAGAUUCAUAAUUCAUAAAACAGAUUAUUGACUAAUUCAGACCACUUGGAAAUGUCAUUUAGCACAACUUAUGGCCUUAUAAGUUGGAUAAUAAGACUAAUACCUUAUUGUCUUGGUGGAGAGUAAUAAACAUUUUUAUUCAGUUCAUUUUAAAGAUGAGACAAUUAGAAGUUCAAAGAAGGUGAGUGACUUGUCCCAGAAUUAUGCACACGAUCCCGUGUGCUUGGUUAAAAUAACACCCACGGUGUAAUGAAGGUCUUAAUGAAGGUCUUCCAACAUAGAACAAAUCUAGAAGUCAUGAAGAGAAAACAGUGCCUAGUUCAUUAGGUAAAAAUGUAUAGAGCUAUAAACCUUUAUAGAGGAACAAUAAAGACAGACAAUAGAGGCAGCUUGUAGAAGGGGAAGAAGCAGCUGCAACCUUGUUCAUCUAGUAUUCAUACCAUACCUCACAGGAAAACAGAGUGUCGAGGAAAGGAGAGGGGACACACUGGAAAUGACAAGUUAGAGAGCCACUGACAGAGCGGGUAUGGCAAAUGAUGAUUAAGGUUUUUAAAAAUGACUUUUCAUUCAGAAAGAAAUUGCUAAUGGCAUUAGGAUCCCAAGCAAUCCAGAAAUGUAAGAAGAUGUUGUAUUGGUGAAGUUAUAGGAUCAGCAUUUUGCAGGCUGCUGGUAGAAAUGAUUGUCACAGUCCUGGAGCAUACUGUCCGAUUUACAAAGCUAGUUAUUAUAAACCAGUGAUUCUGCUUCCGGGAGUUUAUUCUGUACUGGUGAAUAUAAAGAUUAUAUAGCUAUUCACGUAGCAUUUGUUUUAGCAGAGGAUCAGAAACAAUCCAGCUAUUUGUCAUAGAGGAUUGAUUACAUCAACAUGAAGCAGAAUAGAACUACUCAACUUUGGGGGAAGCAAAAGAUGAUUGAGGUUUUAGGUACCUAUGAAAGUAAUCAUAUAUAUCAUUAAGGUUUUUUUUUAAGUUGUUAAAAAAAAAAGUAGUUUUUGCCAAAGAAAUUUCUGGAGAGGCAUGGAAAGAUUUAGCAUCUGCUAUUUCCUGUAGAGGCAGGAGUCAGUGUGUGGGAACUGGGUGGGUGAGAAAGAGCGGGAAUAGGAGGCUUUUCACACAAUACUUCACACCGUAUUUUUGCUUUCAAAGGAAGAAGACAUUCUGAAAGCUACUCUCAAUUUUGGGUAAAUAAGUGAAAUUUUUACUAUUUCCUAGUGGAAUACAGGGACUCCAAAAAUCAAUCUACUUUAAAACAACAAAGCAGUGAAAAACUCGUUACCUAGUUCCUAAACAAAGAAUUGUCAUAGGGUGGCACAUAUGGUGGGACACCUUCCUAACUGUCCUUUGUUCCGACUCAGGAUUUAUGCGCAAUGGCAGGACAGCCUUGUACUUCCAGCAGGUGCAACAGUCGGGACCUAACCUGACACGUGUGUGUUUGUAGCGAUUCCUAAGCACACUGGUCAGAGUUAUCGUAAGCAAUCAUUUCUCUAUUGCGCUACAGGGCUCUGCUGUACCAGUCAGAAAGUUGUGGAAUUCAAUUUUUAGGAGCUGGAAACCCAGGACUCUCCUUAAAAGCUAGUAUACAAAGCUCUGUUUUAGCCAUAAGCUUUCAUCUUCCUUGUUGAAUUUGUACAUAGCUGAUGAACAACCUUCUAAUAAAAGCCCUUUAUAAAGUUGGAAAAGUAUGAAACCCGUUCUCAACUUCUUCAUUUCCUCCUUAAUAUCCUCAGUUUCCUUUAGCCAUUUUUAAUCAUUCUUCACUUAACAGGAUGACAUCUGCUGUACCGAGUUACCAUGCCUGUGUUCUGUGUAUCUAAGAGCUUUCGCCUAUUUUAUGGAUAUAUAUAUGUUGUUAAAUCACAUUUUUGGCAGUAUGAAUUUCUAGUAACUUUAUUUUGUUUUUGAAAAAAAGAAAGAACUCGAAAGGGUACAAAUUAUCCUGUGGCUUUGAGAGUUUUCCAGUUGGCUUGUACAAAACUGAAUAGAGGAAAAGGAGAAUGUAAUUCCUUGGAUGCAGCCUUUUGUGUGAGACUGAGGGGUUCCUUAGAAGAACUCCACUUUCAUAGCCAGAAAGUGAAAUAGGUGAGGUUUUCAGGGAUGUAUUUACACAGUAGAAACUCCAUAAACUUAAAAACAGGUGCUCACAAGAAAAUGGCUGAGUAGAUUUCUGGAGACAAAACAUACGUUUUGUGGGUUUUUUUUCUCCUUGAAAAAUCCUUUGAUGGUUCAUAAAGUGAACACAGACUUUUAGAUGUCUCGUAGUAACUACAGGUAUCUACAGAUUUCCAUAUGUCUCUAUUCUUUGAGAUAUUUACAAUAACUGAUAGAUUUCACCACUCAGUUUUUUUUAAGUGACUCCAGUUUUCUUUUGUAGUUCAGAGUUAAUAGAAGAGUCAUAAUUUUG